rfam:Gossypium arboreum cultivar AKA8401 contig_168191_1, whole genome shotgun sequence.
AACCCAUGGUGAAGGCACCUUCUUAAAUGGUUCUUGUAUCUCUCCCAUGCAUUGUAGAGUGUUUCUAAAUCCAUCUGCACAAAAGAAGAGAUAUCAUUACGUAAUUU